UACGGGGGGGGCAAGCGUUGUUCGGAAUUACUGGGCGUAAAGGGCUCGUAGGUGGCCAACUAAGUCAGACGUGAAAUCCCUCGGCUUAACCGGGGAACUGCGUCUGAUACUGGAUGGCUUGAGUUUGGGAGAGGGACGCGGAAUUCCAGGUGUAGCGGUGAAAUGCGUAGAUAUCAAGUGGAACACCAGUGGCGAAGGCGAGUCUCUGGACAUUUCCUGACGCUGAGGCACGAAAGCCAGGGGAGCAAACGGG
rnacentral:rRNA from 1 species